rnacentral:rRNA from 1 species
AUUGAACGCUGGCGGCAGGCCUAACACAUGCAAGUCGGGCGCGCGGCGGACGGGUGAGUAAUGUAUGGGGAUCUGCCUGAUGGAGGGGGAUAACUACUGGAAACGGUAGCUAAUACCGCAUACCAUCAGAUGAACCCAUAUGGGAUUAGCUAGUAGGUGGGGUAACGGCUUACCUAGGCGACGAUCCCUAGCUGGUCUGUGAGGAUGAUCAGCUACACGGGGACUGAGACACGGCCCAGACUCCUACGGGAGGCAGGGGUGGGGAAUAUUACACAAUUGGCGCAGGCCUGAUGCAGCCAUGCCGCGUGUAUGAAGAAGGCCUUCGGGUUGUAAAGUACUUUCAGUCGGGAGGAGUUACCGACAGAAGAAGCACCGGCUAACUACGUGCCAGCAGCCGCGGUAAUAC